rnacentral:rRNA from 1 species
UACGGAGGAUGCGAGCGUUAUCCGGAUUUAUUGGGUUUAAAGGGUGCGUAGGCGGUCCGUUAAGUCAGCGGUAAAAUUGCGGGGCUCAACCCCGUCGAGCCGUUGAAACUGGCAGACUUGAGUUGGCGAGAAGUACGCGGAAUGCGCGGUGUAGCGGUGAAAUGCAUAGAUAUCGCGCAGAACUCCGAUUGCGAAGGCAGCGUACCGGCGCCACACUGGCGCUGAGGCACGAAAGCGUGGGGAUCGAACAGG